rnacentral:rRNA from 2 species
UGCAAGUCGAGCGGACAGAUGGGAGCUUGCUCCCUGAUGUUAGCGGCGGACGGGUGAGUAACACGUGGGUAACCUGCCUGUAAGACUGGGAUAACUCCGGGAAACCGGGGCUAAUACCGGAUGGUUGUUUGAACCGCAUGGUUCAAACAUAAAAGGUGGCUUUGGCUACCACUUACAGAUGGACCCGCGGCGCAUUAGCUAGUUGGUGAGGUAACGGCUCACCAAGGCAACGAUGCGUAGCCGACCUGAGAGGGUGAUCGGCCACACUGGGACUGAGACACGGCCCAGACUCCUACGGGAGGCAGCAGUAGGGAAUCUUCCGCAAUGGACGAAAGUCUGACGGAGCAACGCCGCGUGAGUGAUGAAGGUUUUCGGAUCGUAAAGCUCUGUUGUUAGGGAAGAACAAGUACCGUUCGAAUAGGGCGGUACCUUGACGGUACCUAACCAGAAAGCCACGGCUAACUACGUGCCAGCAGCCGCGGUAAUACGUAGGUGGCAAGCGUUGUCCGGAAUUAUUGGGCGUAAAGGGCUCGCAGGCGGUUUCUUAAGUCUGAUGUGAAAGCCCCCGGCUCAACCGGGGAGGGUCAUUGGAAACUGGGGAACUUGAGUGCAGAAGAGGAGAGUGGAAUUCCACGUGUAGCGGUGAAAUGCGUAGAGAUGUGGAGGAACACCAGUGGCGAAGGCGACUCUCUGGUCUGUAACUGACGCUGAGGAGCGAAAGCGUGGGGAGCGAACAGGAUUAGAUACCCUGGUAGUCCACGCCGUAAACGAUGAGUGCUAAGUGUUAGGGGGUUUCCGCCCCUUAGUGCUGCAGCUAACGCAUUAAGCACUCCGCCUGGGGAGUACGGUCGCAAGACUGAAACUCAAAGGAAUUGACGGGGCCCGCACAGCGUGGAGCAUGUGUUUAUUCGAGCACGCGAGACUUACAGGUCU